CCCGCUUGCUGUAGCUGCCAUGUUUGUGGCCGCCAUGUUUAAAGAGACACAAACACACACAAUAUUUUAACUCUGCAUGAUGGCGACUUAAACUAACUUCUCUUCUUGGUGUCAUGGCGCACUAAGAGACAGCACAACAACAUGGAAGACUUAACAACACUCAAGUCUUCGUCUUCUUGCUUUUUUUUCUCUUCCUCAACUUGGUCUUAGCGAGCUCAUGGCUGUAAGUAGCAAGCUAACUGGAGCUGUGCUUCUCACUCUAGUGGCGGCUGCACUUUUGCACUUUUUUACCCGCAAACUUCAGCAAACUUCACCGGAGACACAACCCCGCCAGUGUGUCAUGUCCCCACCGGAGACACAACCCCGCCAGUGUGUCAUGUCCCCGGACAGACGCUUCGACUGUGGCCGGGACAGAGUCCUCAGUCGCGGGGCCUGCGAGCAAAGAGCUUGUUGUUACUCUCCACUCACUAACUCUUCCAGAGCUCCAUGGUGCUUCUACCCUCAUGGAUACCCGGGAUACACCAUGGCUGGCCUCACCCCCACCCACCGGGGGCAGGCUGCCACCCUGACCCGGGACAAGCCCUCAUACCUGCCCGGAGAUGUCCCCACUCUUCACCUGCAGGAGACCCGGGAGUCUGCAGGCUGCCUGCGCCUCACUCUGAAGGAUCCUUGGGCACGCAGAUAUGAAGUUGACCUUCCUUCUGGGGUCCCUCAGGGCAAGGCCGCUGCCCAGGAUGCCUUGUAUGCCGUUAAGUACCAGACCGAGCCAUUUGGCUUCGUCGUGACUCGCAAAUCCAAUGGAAGGGUGCUCAUGAAUACCACAGUGGCGCCUUUGCUGUUUUCUGACCAGUACCUGCAGCUGUCCACCUCCUUGGCCUCCUCUCUUGUGUCAGGCCUUGGAGAGCACUACACCUCCCUCAUCUUGGACCUAAACUGGACCUCCCUGACCCUCUGGAACCGAGACAUGGCCCCUCAUGCCCAUGCAAACCUCUAUGGCUCUCAUCCCUUCUACAUGGUCCAGGAGGAGGAUGGACUGGCACACGGGGUGUUCCUUCUCAACAGCAAUGCCAUUGAGGUGAUCCUGCAGCCUCUUCCAGCUCUGACUUGGGUCUCUACAGGUGGAAUCCUGGAUCUGUACAUCUUCAUGGGUCCCGAUCCUCAGACUGUUCUACGACAAUACCUGCAAGUCAUUGGGUAUCCCAUGAUGCCUCCUUAUUGGUCAUUGGGCUUCCACCUGUGUCGCUGGGGAUACACGAGCACUAACGUGACACGGCGGGUGGUACAGAGGAUGCAUGAUGCUAACUUACCCAUGGAUGUGCAGUGGAACGACCUUGACUAUGCAGCUAAAAGCCGGGUAUUCACCUUUGACCCUGUGCGCUUCAAGGACAUUAAAGACAUGGCGGAGGAGUUUCACCAAAAAGGACUGAAGUACAUCCUCAUCCUGGACCCAGGGAUCAGCACCACGAGUCCUCCAGGAACUUACCAACCCUUUGACGACGGACUGAAACGAGACGUGUUUAUAAAAAACGCUACAGGUCACCUUCUGAUCGGGAAGGUUUGGCCUGGUCCCACGGCAUUCCCGGACUUCACCAACCCGGAGACACGACACUGGUGGGAAGACUGUAUUAGGACUUUUUAUGCCCAGGUGCCCGUGGAUGGAUUGUGGAUUGAUAUGAACGAACCCUCCAGUUUUGUUUCGGGCUCAUUGGAAGGUUGUCCUGACACAGAUGUUGAGAACCCACCUUACACACCAAGGGUCAUCGGAGGUCGCUUAAACUCAGGGACUCUUUGUAUGUCGGCUCAGCAAAAGUUGUCCACUCACUACAAUCUGCACAAUAUGUACGGACUGACUGAAGCCUUCGCCACUUAUAGUGCUCUUGUCAAAGUACGACGGAAGAGGCCAUUUGUCCUGUCUCGCUCCUCCUUCCCGAGCAUCGGACGCUUCUCCGGAGUGUGGACUGGAGACGUCAGGAGCGACUGGGAGCAGCUUCGAUACUCCAUCCCUUCUGUGCUGGGGUUCAGUUUAUUGGGGGCCCCUCUGGUGGGUGCAGACAUCUGUGGCUUCCAAGGCAACACCACGGAGGAGUUGUGCACACGAUGGAUGCAGCUUGGAGCCUUCUACCCAUUCAUGAGGAACCACAAUGACAGGCAAUAUGCUUCUCAGGAGCCGUAUGUGUUUGGACAGAAGGCCCAGGCAGCCAUGCGAAUUGCAUUAAACCUUCGUUACUCCCUCCUUCCGUUUCUCUACACACUCUUCCAUCAUGCACACACCUCUGGAGACGCAGUGGCCAGGCCUCUUUUCAUGGAGUUUCCCGCUGACCCCAACAGUCAGAUUAUUGACCGACAGUUCCUGUGGGGGAGUUCCCUGCUCAUCAGCCCAGUCUUAGAGGAAGGUGCUGUGGAGGUGCUAGCUUACCUGCCCCCCUGCACUUGGUACAGUCUUCACAACGGUCAGCCUUUUUAUAGCGAAGGUCAGUUCCUGGUUCUGUCAGCUCCUUUAGACACGAUCAACAUCCACGUGAGGGAAGGACACAUUAUCCCCCAGCAGGAGCCAGCUUUAACGACGACAACCUCACGCAAAAACCCCUUUCUCCUGACGGUGGCGCUCUCUGCAGAAGGAUCGGCCUGUGGUGACUUGUUCUGGGAUGACGGGGAUAGCCUGGACACCUUUGAAGGGGGAAGUUACAGUCAUGUCAAGUUCACUGCUGCUCAGUCCCAGGUGCUGAGUAACCCUACUGACAUGAAUGGAACCCUGGAUGGUCUUAUGCUGGGGGCGAUGCGGGUGUUUGGGGUACCCGGGCGGCCGCAAUACGUCGUAGCCAACGGGGAGAAAGUCAGGGACUUUGUGUACAACACUGACUCAAAGGUUUUGAAAGUGAGCCACCUGACUCUGCCCAUGUCAAAGAUGAUUACAGUCCAGUGGGCUCCGUGACGAAGUGACAUCUAUUACCCAUGAUGCCCUGGGAGGGCUUCUUUUUCAAGGACUGCCACCAACCCAAAGGCUCGGGAUCUUUCUGUGUGGAGUUUGCAUGUUCUCCCCGUGACUGCGUGGGUUCCCUCCGGGUACUCCGGCUUCCUCCCACCUCCAAAGACAUGCACCUGGGGAUAGGUUGAUUGGCAACACUAAAUGGGCCCUAGUGUGUGAAUGUUGUCUGUCUAUCUGUGUUGGCCCUGUGAUGAGGUGACGACUUGUCCAGGGUGUACCCUGCCUUCCGCCCGAUUGUAGCUGAGAUAGGCGCCAGCGCCCCCCGCGACCCCAAAAGGGAAUAAGCGGUAGAAAAUUGUUGGAUGGAUGGAUGAUUUCAAUUGUCAGGAAAGAAGAGGAAGGAAUUUAAAAGCAAGAGGACAUACGUUAAUCGUGUACAGGUGCGCCAUCCACACACCUGACCUUUUUUGUGGCGUCGCUCCCGGCACGCCCCGCCUCGCCGCUCGCUCGCCAUCCCCGCCUCCUCGCCGCCAUCUUGGCUCUGUCGGACCGUCAGCUCCGCCUCUUCACAGCUGGUAUUUGAGCUAUUUUUAGAACAGGCCAGCGGGCGACCUGGUGAUUUUUUUAGAGUAUGUUUGAUCAAAAAAAUAUUUGCAGUAUUGUAAGUAUUUUGCUUUAGAUUGCCAUAAAAAGGGAUAAACUUCUUAGCUACUCAACAGUCGUGUGAAGCUUCAUAGAUUACUAUUGUCUUAAAAUUAAAAUAAACUCAUCUUCUCUUCUGUUGCCAAAAACAUUUUGGACACUUUUUUGUGGGCCCUUGUUUGUCACCGAAUUGUUGGGUGUGAGUGACAGUAAGAAAAGCUCAGAGGACAGUAAUUUGGGGACACAGUGUUCGACACCACCUGUUUAUUUGCAUGUGUAAAUCUCUAGACUGUUAAUAUGAGCCUUCUGUCUUUUUCAUAUAUUUUUCUGUUGUCUUUUUCUUUUAAUUUCCCUAAACAAUAUUUAUUAUGGUGUAUUUAAUAAUGUGGUUAAUAGUAAUAAUAAAUUACUUAAAAUAUAUGUUUUAUUUUUAAGUACAUACUGACAAAAUGAUUGUAACAUUCUGCACAAAAAAGCACAUUUAAAAUGUCAACACCUGGAUUCAAGAACAGCUUCGUGGCUUAAAUAGUUACCAGAUUUUUCUACAAGUCAUAAACACAUGGACGGACAAAAUUUUGUAUUUUUGAUAUGGAAUGAUACAUUUAUAGACGUUAAUGUAAAACAUAUUUAGUGGCCAAUUUAAUGUAAAACCGACUGAUUAAAAUGAAUGAUGCCUCAUUGCGGAAGCGGUGAUUUUGGGUUGAUUGAUCAGGGCUGUCCAGAAAGUCAAGCUAGAAAGUGGAAAAAUCGGUUUUUCACGGCUAAAUCUUACCAAGUGACUGUUGUGUGCGUGAGUGACAGGAUGAAAAGCUCAGAGUACCGUAAUGUGGGCAUUUUAAAUGUCAUUUUUUUCCUGCAGAAUGUUACAAUCGUCAUACAUUUUGUCAGCAUGUACUUAUAAAUAAAACAUACUUUAAGUGCUUUAUUAUUACUAGUAAGUGCAUUAUUAAAUAUGCCAUAAUAAGUAUCGGUUAGGGAAAUUAAUCACUGUAUUAAGUCAAAUGUAUUACAGAAAGUGGAAAAAAGAAAUAAAACAUUGGUUUUGCACGG